AAUGUUUCUUCUUCUCUCUCGAUUUAUUUCCUCAGUAACAUUUUACUGAUGAGUUCAUGUCUCAAUCUGUAGUUUCAAGUCUUCUUCAACAUGAUGUUCAUUUAGUAACUUCUGUUCUAUUUUGACCGCGUUGCGUUCAGGUGCAGUAACAGACCGCGUUGCGUUCAGGUGCAGUAACAUACCGUGUUGCGUUCAUGUACAGUAACAGACCGUGUUGCAUUCAGGUGCAGUAACAGACUGUGUUGCAUUCAGGUGCAGUAAUAGACCGUGUUGCAUUCAUGUGCAGUAACAGACCGUGUUGCAUUCAGGUGCAGUAACAGACCGUGUUGCAUUCAGGUGCAGUAACAGACCGUGUUGCGUUCAGGUGCAGUAACAGACUGUGUGUUGUGUUCAGGUGCAGUAACAGACUGUGUGUUGUGUUCAGGUGCAGUGACAGACCGUGUUACGUUCAGGUGCAGUAACAGACUGUAUUGUGUUCAGGUGCAGUAACAGACUGUGUGUUGUGUUCAGGUGCAGUAACAGACUGUGUGUUGUGUUCAGGUGCAGUGACAGACCGUGUUACGUUCAGGUGCAGUAACAGACUGUGUGUUGUGUUCAGGUGCAGUAACAGACUGUGUUGCAUUCAGGUGCAGACAUCCGGCAGGUGAAGAGGGAGGAUGCGGGCCCUGUCCUGGCCGACACGUUGCGUCAGUUCCUGUUUGACCUGCAGGUGGAGGAUGGCCUGGCUGCCGUGGGUUACAGUAAAGACGACAUCCCGGCUCUGGUGAAGGGGACCAUCCCGCAGGAGCGUGUGACGAAGCUCUCUCCCCGGGAGCACACUGAGGAGGAUCUCAGCGAGCUCUUCGCAGCCUCCAUGAAGCUCUACUGAGCGCUGACCUCUGGUCUGUGCUGCAGCUCCUCUAACGGCCACUAGGCGGAGCUGUUUCUACAUUUUGAUUUUAUCAAAUAAAACACGUAUUCACAAGU